rnacentral:rRNA from 1 species
GACGGAGGAUGCAAGUGUUAUCCGGAAUCACUGGGCGUAAAGCGUCUGUAGGUGGUUUAAUAAGUCAACUGUUAAAUCUUGAGGCUCAACCCCAAAAUCGCAGUCGAAACUAUUAGGCUAGAGUAUAGUAGGGGUAAAGGGAAUUUCCAGUGGAGCGGUGGAAUGCGCAGAUAUCAGGAGGAACACCGGUGGCGAAGGCGGGUCUCUGGGCAGUAACUGACGCUGAGGAGCGAAAGCGUGGGGAGCGAACAGG